GAAACAGAACAUCCUAAGGAUAUAACGAGCAAUUUGGAAAAAAAAAUUUGUCGGUUUCUUAUACGGUUGCGAAGGAGUAGUGGCCACAAGAAAAACAGUGUUCGGGGAGAUAACUCUUACAAGGUAAAGUUUUUUGUUACGCGGUGUCAGUUUCAGAAGCGUAUUAACUGGUCGAUAUCAUUUACCUUAUAUCUAAGCGAUAUCUUGUGAAACAAAAAAACAGCGAAGGAAAAAAAAGUUGGCGGAAAAAAAAAAAAAAAAUAAUAAUUAAAAACCAAUUGUUCAAAGAACAAUUGAAGGUCUUUCAACCAAUAAGGAUGUAUUUUGAUAUGAAAAUAUUAAAAUUCAGUUGAAAAUGUCAGUUCCUAUAGCUUUAUGAUGUAUAAAUAUGAAUUUCGAGCAAAGGUCAAAAUCUAGAACGUCCAAAUAACCUAUGACCUUGACCUCAAUUUCAAGUUCA
rnacentral:lncRNA from 1 species